rnacentral:rRNA from 1 species
CACGUAGGGUGCGAGCGUUGUCCGGAAUUAUUGGGCGUAAAGAGCUCGUAGGCGGUGUGUCACGUCGGCCGUGAAAACCUGCAGCUUAACUGUGGGCGUGCGGUCGAUACGGGCAUCACUGGAGUUCGGCAGGGGAGACUGGAAUUCCUGGUGUAGCGGUGAAAUGCGCAGAUAUCAGGAAGAACACCCGUGGCGAAGGCGGCUCUCUGGUACGUGACUGACGCUGAGACGCGAAAGCAUGGGGAGCGAACAGG